rnacentral:rRNA from 1 species
AAGACCUUGCACUUUUGGAGCGGCCGAMGUCUGAUUAGCUAGUUGGUGGGGUAAUGGCCUACCAAAGCUUCGAUCAGUAGCUGGUCUGAGAGGACGGCCAGCCACACUGGGACUGAGACACGGCCCAGACUCCUACGGGAGGCAGCAGUGGGGAAUUUUGGACAAUGGGCGCAAGCCUGAUCCAGCCAUGCCGCGUGAGUGAAGAAGGCCUUCGGGUUGUAAAGCUCUUUCAGCCGGGAAGAAAAGGUUGCGACUAAUAAUCGCAAUCCAUGACGGUACCGAAAGAAGAAGCACCGGCUAACUACGUGCCAGCAGCCGCGGUAAUACGUAGGGUGCGAGCGUUAAUCGGAAUUACUGGGCGUAAAGGGUGCGCAGGCGGUUUUGUAAGUCAGAUGUGAAAUCCCCGGGCUUAACCUGGGAACU